AGAUGGAAAAUCAUCACUCAAUGCAAUCUCCAAAUUCCAUCUAAUAUAGUGGUAGCUCAAUUUCAUGUUUGCAUAUUUUAUAGUUUACUCCAGAGUCUUAAUGGGAGUAUUAAUAUUACUCAAAAUACAAUGCUAACUAUUAAGCAAUCUUUAUACAGUUAAUCAACAGGCAAAUAUGUGCAAUAUUUAUGCUUGAGAAACUUUAUAAGCAACAUUUUAAUG
rnacentral:lncRNA from 1 species